CGUAUCAUUGUGCUUCGUGCCCGAUUCGGCGCGGGGCGAUAAGUCCUGACACGAAAGGGAUGAUAUGAC
rnacentral:ncRNA from 1 species